CGGGGUGCAGCAGGCGCGAAAACUUUGCAAUGCGGGAAACCGUGACAAGGGAACUCUGAGUGCCCGUUAAAUCGGGCUGUCCAUCGGUUUAAACAACCGGUGAAGAAAGGGCCGGGCAAGACCGGUGCCAGCCGCCGCGGUAAUACCGGCGGCUCGAGUGGUGGCCACUAUUACUGGGCUUAAAGCGUUCGUAGCUGGUUUGUUAAGUCUCUGGGGAAAGCUUCCGGCUCAACCGGAAGGCGUCUCAGGGAUACUGGCAGACUAGGGACCGGGAGAGGUGAGAGGUACUCCAGGGGUAGGAGUGAAAUCCUGUAAUCCUUGGGGGACCACCUGUGGCGAAGGCGUCUCACCAGAACGGCUCCGACAGUGAGGGACGAAAGCUGGGGGAGCAAACCGGAUUAGAUACCCGGGUAGUCCCAGCUGUAAACGAUGCGCGUUAGGUGUAUCGGUGACCACGAGUCACCGAGGUGCCGAAGAGAAAUCGUGAAACGUGCCGCCUGGGAAGUACGGUCGCAAGGCUGAAACUUAAAGGAAUUGGCGGGGGAGCAC
rnacentral:rRNA from 1 species